CCUGAGAAACCCAAAAGAUCGAAUGGGGAGAUUCAUCGUCAGCGAGCCUGGCACGUGUACGGUUCGUGAUGUCGGAGGCUUCGGUCUCUCGGCACUCGUCCGUGUUUGUUUUUUGCCAGGUUUCGUCGGCGUGCACUUCUCCCCUAGUAGGACGUCGCGACCCGUUGGGUGUCGGUCUACGGCCCGGGCGGUUGCCUGUCACGUGUUCGCUUCACGGCGUCGCGUGGCAGACCCCCGGUUGUCUGACCAGCUGCUCGGCGGUACUCGCACGGUAUCGAGCCGCAGAUAUUCAAACUGCGUCCGGCCCGCCGCAAGCGAGGCCAGCGUUUCCCGGAUGUACGGACCUAGCGCCGUCACCGGGCCUGGCCAGCUGUUGGCUGGCGGUGUCCUGGGACUGGCUCUUAAUUAUGAUUACCGGUCGGCGACGCUACUGCUUUGGGUACUUUCAGGACCCGUCUUGAAACACGGA
rnacentral:rRNA from 1 species